CAGCCCAGAUACAUCCCGUCGAAUUACCCUAGUGGUGUGGACGGCGAGUGGCAGAAUAGCCAUGGAUAGCCGUGAUGACUGACAUAAUGGGAAUGCGUGGAAGCUAAUUUGCCAGCGAUGCACCCAGGAACGAGUGGAUCUGAAUGACUCGUUUGUGAUAUAAAGCCCCCGUCUGGAAGGGCUCUGUAUAAAAGAAAGCGUUAUAGGAAGGUCCUGUGUCAAUUCCGCAUCUAGCUCUUGACUCAAAAACGGCAGGAAAAGAGAUCAUGAAUUAGAAAAAUCACUUACAGCCAGUCAGCAGCUUCGCGGUCCGGGGAGAUCGGUCCACGACGAUCAACACACAAGAUUUUUGACUGGAGACACCCAUUGAUAGGCCACCCACACUUGAUUGUGCUGACAAACAGCAAUGGGUUCAGUCCCCAUGAAGAUUCUACUGAAUCACCUUACUGGUCACCCAGAUGAACCAACUAACACCCGGCCCUUCAUCCUCAUCGUCGUCUUCACCACCAUCACCUUGGUGGGGAUGCCCCAUUGGGCUGGAGCUUUCAACCCUCAGCACUUCCUGUUCCUGCCCUCUGAUGCUGUUCCAGUCUUUGUCCAUCACUCCAAGCACAUCGUCCAAGAUGGAAGGCCCCAAGUCCAACUGGAAAGAGAGAAGGGAUUCAGCAUGUUCCAAUUUGGGGCUCGCCAAGGAGAACUGCUGCUGCAGGUCCCAGUCUCCUCCAUUAGGGGGCUCCUGUGCCUGCUGCUCUGCCGCCUCUGGGUGCUGCAGUACCACAAAGCUGCCAUCAGGGGUUGACGUUGCUGGGCUUUGAACUAAGCCAUUCCCGCUACCAGGGGGAGACAACAGUUCAAAUCGGCCAGAAACAUCUCCAGGACUAGAGAAGGCCCCAGGGGACACGGACACAUCAGGAGGCAGCCCAUUGGCCUUGGAGCCCCCAUGGUUGCUGAGGAAAGACGUGUCACCAAAAGCAUCUCCACCACGGCCAAUGUGCAUCGUGUGCCGGAAAUCACCCAAGGGGGCGCUGAUCAUCGCCCGAUCCAGACGUGGCCGCUUCUUUGAGUGGGAGACAGGGGACUGCUUGAGGAUGGGCAUCUGGGAAGAAAGAAAGAGAGAAAUGUGUGAGAAAGAGAAGGGAACCUUUCCAUUAGAGCCAACAUAGUCUGCCAGUUAGAGCUGGGAGAUGUGGAUCCGAGUCCAAUCUCUGCCACAGAUUCAUCAUUUGGCCUUGGGCAAGUCUUUUACAGCUUAUGUCCCCGUCUUCAAAAUGAAAACAAUGACCUACCGCACAGGGCUUUGUGAAGAUACAAACUGCAAAUCCUUUCUGCAUUUUUUAAAUUAAAAAACUGUUUAAAAAUA